rnacentral:misc_RNA from 1 species
UACGAAAGGUGCGAGCGUUAAUCGGAAUUACUGGGCGUAAAGCGCGCGGAGGCGGCUUGUUAAGUCGGAUGUGAAAGCCCCGGGCUCAACCUGGGAAUUGCACCCGAUACUGGAAGGCUAGAGUGCAGUAGAGGGAGGUGGAAUUUCGGGUGUAGCGGUGAAAUGCGUAGAGAUCGGAAAGAACACCAGUGGCGAAGGCGGUCUCCUGGACUGACACUGACGCUGAGGUGCGAAAGCGUGGGUAGCAAACAGG